AAGCCCGUGGAAAGGGCACAAUCUUAACAAGUCCUUAUAACGCUCCCACGCAUUAGACAAAUUCCCCCUUUUCAUGCCUAAAAUUAUUAAUCUCAUUCCUAACUU